rnacentral:rRNA from 1 species
GACGAACGCUGGCGGCGUGCCUAAUACAUGCAAGUCGAGCGCAUCGAUGGGAGCUUGCUCCCUGAAGUGAGCGGCGGAUGGGUGAGUAACACGUGGGUAACCUGCCUGUCAGAUCGGGAUAACUGUGGGAAACCGCAGCUAAUACCGGAUAAUCCUUCGCACCGCAUGGUGCGGAGUUGAAAGAUGGUUUCGGCCAUCACUGACAGAUGGGCCCGCGGUGCAUUAGUUAGUUGGCGGGGUAACGGCCCACCAAGACUGCGAUGCAUAGCCGACCUGAGAGGGUGAUCGGCCACAUUGGGACUGAGACACGGCCCAAACUCCUACGGGAGGCAGCAGUAGGGAAUCUUCCACAAUGGACGAAAGUCUGAUGGAGCAACGCCGCGUGAGCGAAGAAGGUUUUCGGAUCGUAAAGCUCUGUUGCUGGAGAAGAACGAGUACGAGAGGAAAUGCUCGUACUGUGACGGUAUCCAGCCAGAAAGCCACGGCUAACUACGUGCCAGCCGCCGCAGUAACAC